rnacentral:lncRNA from 1 species
AGCAGCUGGGCUCCUUCCCCUCUCCUCCCUCCACAGAAAGUAAGCAGAUCUUUUCCCAACUAGCAGGAAGAUGAUGUGAAAUAAUUAUGAUGUCUGCAAUCGAGGAACGAGGGAAAAAACCCCACCAAUUACCACAGCAAGAGAGAUGGCGAUGCGCUCCAGGUCUCCGGUGAUGCCCUGCUGCAGCCAAACCUCCUGCCUUGGCACAAAGGGAAUUGGGGCCUUUAAAAGCACAUGUAGGAAAUGUGAUU